rnacentral:rRNA from 1 species
CCAAUAGCGUAUAUUAAAGUUGUUGCAGUUAAAAAGCUCGUAGUUGAAUUUCGGGAUUGACACAUCGGUCGUGCCCUAAGGGGUAUGAACUGGUGUAGUCAAUUUCUCACCUUCUGGAGAACCGCGAUGCCCUUAAUUGGGUGUCACGGGGAACCAGGACCUUUACUUUGAAAAAAUUAGAGUGUUUAAAGCAGGCAUUUUGCUUGAAUACAUUAGCAUG